rnacentral:rRNA from 1 species
CCUGGUCUUGACAUCCACAGAACUUUCCAGAGAUGGAUUGGUGCCUUCGGGAACUGUGAGACAGGUGCUGCAUGGCUGUCGUCAGCUCGUGUUGUGAAAUGUUGGGUUAAGUCCCGCAACGAGCGCAACCCUUAUCCUUUGUUGCCAGCGGUCCGGCCGGGAACUCAAAGGAGACUGCCAGUGAUAAACUGGAGGAAGGUGGGGAUGACGUCAAGUCAUCAUGGCCCUUACGACCAGGGCUACACACGUGCUACAAUGGCGCAUACAAAGAGAAGCGACCUCGCGAGAGCAAGCGGACCUCAUAAAGUGCGUCGUAGUCCGGAUUGGAGUCUGCAACUCGACUCCAUGAAGUCGGAAUCGCUAGUAAUCGUGGAUCAGAAUGCCACGGUGAAUACGUUCCCGGGCCUUGUACACACCGCCCGUCACACCAUGGGAGUGGGUUGCAAAAGAAGUAGGUAGCUUAACCUUCGGGAGGGCGCUUACCACUUUGUGAUUCAUGACUGGGGUGAAGUCGUAACAAGGUAACCGUAGGGGAACCUGC